GCGAAUAUACCGGUUCUCGUUAGAUCACCGAAGUCAAGCAUCAUUGGGCGCGGUCAGUACUUGGGUGGGUGACCACCUGGGAACACUGCGUGCCGUU
rnacentral:rRNA from 1 species